ACCUCUCCUCAGGAUUGGAGAGCAAGGGGGCAGAAGCCAGACACUAUGCCUGUCAUCAAGUCGCCUCUCCGGACAUCCCACCCUGCAAAAACUCACUUCAGGGAGGUAGCAGCACCCGCCCCAGAUCGACCUCCAAGGGUAAGGUGAAGAGAGAAGAUACUGGAGCAGAGCCAUGACCUGAGAAAGGCCGGGAGAUCGAAGGAGGAGCGGCGAAGGGGAAGCCACAAGCUCCAACGUGUGCGCAUUAGACGGUUUCAUUAAAAUGGGCCCUUUUCUUUUUGUUUUUCUUUACUAACCCUCUAGUCAAAUUAAGAAUUAUAAAGCUAAAUCAUUUAAUUGCC